GUCCAGAGCAGCUCUUGGCACGCUCCUUGCAGGAGGAUCACCUCGACUGAGCUGUUCUCAGAUUACAGCUGCUGUCCUUUUGUUUCUGUAUUUUCUUGCACAGUCCUUGACUGGUGCAAGUGUCCUGUUUUUCUGCUUUUUACUUGCACAGUCUCAGGACUUGUGCAAGUGUCCUGUUUUUCCCCUUUUUACUUGCAAAGUCCUGGGAGUUGUGCAAGUGAGUUUUUUUUUUCAUUUUUGUUUCCUGGCCUAUGGACUCGAGCAGCACUGCUCAAAGGAUGGAGCGAGUCCGUAGAGCAGUCAGCAGCGCCUUUUCAUUGGUGGCUUCUCGGAAAGCUUUUCUUCGUUUGGCUGGUCCCGCUAGGAGAGGAUCUUGCCAGUCAGGACUCCUGGGCCCAGGCAGGAAAGGCGGAACGGCAGGAGAGCACGGACAGAGUGCACGGUGCCCAGGAGUUCAGAUGGAAGGAGUUGGCUGCAUUUGAGAGAAAGCGCCACUCCUCACUAGAGAGGGCGUCUGAAGUGGCGGCACCGACAGCGGAG